rnacentral:rRNA from 1 species
GACGAACGCUGGCGGCGUGCCUAAUACAUGCAAGUUGAGCGCUGAAGGUUGGUACUUGUACCAACUGGAUGAGCAGCGAACGGGUGAGUAACGCGUGGGGAAUCUGCCUUUGAGCGGGGGACAACAUUUGGAAACGAAUGCUAAUACCGCAUAAAAACUUUAAACACAAGUUUUAAGUUUGAAAGAUGCAAUUGCAUCACUCAAAGAUGAUCCCGCGUUGUAUUAGCUAGUUGGUGAGGUAAAGGCUCACCAAGGCGAUGAUACAUAGCCGACCUGAGAGGGUGAUCGGCCACAUUGGGACUGGGACAAGGCCCAAACUCCUACGGGAGGCAGCAGUAGGGAAUCUUCGGCAAUGGGCGAAAGUCUGACCGAGCAAAGCCGCGUGAGUGAAGAAGGUUUUCGGAUCGUAAAACUCUGUUGGUAGGGAAGAACGUUGGUGAGAGUGGAAAGCUCAUCAAGUGACGGUAACUACCCAGAAAGGGACGGCUAACUACGUG